UUGAGUUUGAGGAUGGUUCUCAAAUACUAAUGAAGAGAGAAGAGAUCUAUACCCUAGAUGAAGAGCUUCCUAAAAGAGUGAAAGCACGUUUUUCUACAGCGUCUGACAUGAGAUUUGAAGACACGUUUUAUGGAGCGGAUAUUAUCCUGGGAGAAAAGAAGAGACAGAGAGUACUGAGUUCCCGUUUUAAGAAUGAGUAUGUAGACGAUCCAGGAUACCGCACCUUCUUAAAAAGCUCGUUCGUGAAGAAGUGCCAGAAGGGGCAAUAAAUGAAGUAAUGAAGAGACAAAGACAGACAGACAGGCACACACACACACUGUCUUAGACUGGUCAUAGCUGACUAAAAAGUCAAGCAGCAUUAGUUGCAAUUGGUUUUGAGUUAAUUAAGCACUUGGUUUUACAGUGAGCCAGUUUAUACGUAAGCCUCAUCAGAUAAAGUACUUGAGUUAUUACUUCUUCAGUUAAUGUAAUAAAGAUUUUGUAAUACUUUUCAUUUUGAAACUAGGAGGGAAAACCAAGAGAGAGUAAAACGGAUUACACAGCAAUAGACUGGAGAAAAUUUUUGUUUGAAGUUAGUGGUAAAAAUUCUCUUUGAGUAGUAGAAGAUUCUCAGUCAGAAGAGGAGACACUUUAAUAAACAGAGACAAUUGCACUGGCUCGUUUUUUUUCUGCCGAUAGGGAAAGAUGUUAGGUUUAA